rnacentral:rRNA from 1 species
UGGGGAAUAUUGCGCAAUGGGCGAAAGCCUGACGCAGCGACGCCGCGUGGGGGAUGAAUGCCUUCGGGUUGUAAACCCCUUUCGGCAGGGACGAAGCGAACGUGACGGUACCUGCAGAAGAAGUCCCGGCUAACUACGUGCCAGCAGCCGCGGUAAGACGUAGGGGACGAGCGUUGUCCGGAUUCAUUGGGCGUAAAGCGCGCGUAGGCGGUUGCGCAAGUCGGUUGUGAAAAUCCGGGGCUCAACCCCGGACCUGCAUCCGAUACUGCGUGACUAGAGGUAGGUAGGGGAGAUCGGAAUUCCUGGUGUAGCGGUGAAAUGCGCAGAUAUCAGGAGGAACACCGGUGGCGAAGGCGGAUCUCUGGGCCUUACCUGACGCUAAGGCGCGAAAGCUAGGGGAGCGAACAG